UAUCUUUUCUUUGCCAUCUCCAUCCCAGGCUCUGUUUCCCAGACACUUUAUCGCACUUUACUUCACAGAUUUUCUCUGCCGCAUUCCAGGUCUAGGUCCCUCCUCAGAGUAGGACACUUUCCCUCGCCGUACUGCCUGGGUGUCAGCACCUGCACAAGUGAGACAGACAGACUGCUGCCUCACUUUCCCUUGCUCUUGCUUCAGUGUGACCCAGAGAAGCUCCAGAUAAGUUCAUAUGCUUUUCACUGUUAUCAAAGGACAGCUAGAAGAUCAAACUAUUCACAUACUGUUACUAUUAAGAGUCUUCUAAAAGUACUGGCUUGUCUGAGGAGCUGCACAUCAUGAGUGCUGGUUUUACACCCUCACUGCAGGUAAUUUUUUUUCUUUGUAUAGAUUACCUGAGCAAAUUUUGCUAUGGGAGAUGCAGUUGGAC
rnacentral:lncRNA from 1 species